rnacentral:rRNA from 1 species
GAUGAACGCUGGCGGCGUGCCUAACACAUGCAAGUCGAGCGAGAAGCUCAUGAUCGAAACUUCGGUUGAUUGAUUGAGUGGAAAGCGGCGGACGGGUGAGUAACGCGUAGGCAACCCGCCCCUUGCAGAGGGAUAGCCUCGGGAAACCGGGAUUAAAACCUCAUAAUGCGUUUGAAGACAUCUUCGAGGCGCCAAAGAUUUAUCGGCAAGGGAUGGGCCUGCGUCUGAUUAGGUAGUUGGUGGGGUAACGGCCUACCAAGCCGACGAUCAGUAGCCGACCUGAGAGGGUGACUGGCCACAUUGGGACUGAGACACGGCCCAA